rnacentral:rRNA from 1 species
UCAGGACGAACGCUGGCGGCGUGCCUAAUACAUGCAAGUCGAGCGGAAAUUUAUUGGUGCUUGCACCUUAAAAUUUAGCGGCGGACGGGUGAGUAACACGUGGGUAACCUACCUUAUAGAUUGGGAUAACUCGGGAAACCGGGGCUAAUACCGAAUAAUAUUUUUAAACACAUGUUUGAAAGUUGAAAGACGGUUUCGGCUGUCACUAUAAGAUGGACCCGCGGCGCAUUAGCUAGUUGGUGAGGUAACGGCUCACCAAGGCAACGAUGCGUAGCCGACCUGAGAGGGUGAUCGGCCACACUGGGACUGAGACACGGCCCAGACUCCUACGGGAGGCAGCAGUAGGGAAUCUUCCACAAUGGACGAAAGUCUGAUGGAGCAACGCCGCCGUGAGUGAAGAAGGAUUUCGGUUCGUAAAACUCUGUUGCAAGGGAAGAACAAGUAGCGUAGUAACUGGCGCUACCUUGACGGUACCUUGUUAGAAAGCCACGGCUAACUACGUGCCAGCCGCCGC